AACGCGAAGAACCUUACCUGGGCUCGAAGCGCAGUGGACCGGGGUAGAAAUAUCCCUUUCUCGCAAGAGACUGCUGCGGAGGUGCUGCAUGGCUGUCGUCAGCUCGUGUCGUGAGAUGUUGGGUUAAGUCCCGCAACGAGCGCAACCCUUAUCCCUAGUUGCCAUCGGGUCAAGCCGGGCACUCUAGUGAAACCGCCCCGGAUAACGGGGAGGAAGGUGGGGAUGACGUCAAGUCCUCAUGGCCUUUAUGUCCAGGGCUACACACGUGUUACAAUGCGCGCCACAAAGCGUCGCGAACCCGCGAGGGGGAGCUAAUCGCAAAAAAGCGCGCUCAGUUCGGAUUGCAGUCUGCAACUCGACUGCAUGAAGCCGGAAUCGCUAGUAAUGGCGCAUCAGAACGGCGCCGUGAAUACGUUCCCGGGCCUUGUACACACCGGCUAC
rnacentral:rRNA from 1 species